GCGUUGGUAGCGCAAUUAGUCAGCACGUGCAUCCUAAAAGGAUGAAAGAUGCGGGUUCAAAACCCGUCUAAGGUU